rnacentral:rRNA from 1 species
UACGUAGGGUGCAAGCGUUGUCCGGAUUUAUUGGGCGUAAAGAGCUCGUAGGCGGUCUGUCGCGUCGGUCGUGAAAACUUGGGGCUUAACCCUGAGCUUGCGGUCGAUACGGGCAUGACUGGAGUUCGGCAGGGGAGACUGGAAUUCCUGGUGUAGCGGUGAAAUGCGCAGAUAUCAGGAGGAACACCGAUGGCGAAGGCAGGUCUCUGGGCUGACACUGACGCUCAUGCACGAAAGCGUGGGGAGCAAACAGG